GGUCUCGUAGUACAACGGAUAGUAUACAGGUUUCCGAAGCCUGCGAUGAUGGUUCGAUUCCAUCCGAGACCACCU
rnacentral:tRNA from 1 species